rnacentral:lncRNA from 1 species
AACUCUUUUUUUCUUAAAAAUAUAUUCUUUUCUCUUCCAACUCUUUUCUCUUCUCUACAGAAAUUGCAAAUAUAGAAAGAUUGAAUCUUAACUGGAAUGGUUGAUUUUCAUUAUUCAUAUGUCGGUUAGUUUUCUUCUCCCAAAUUUUUCUUCUCCCCAAUUUCUAGGGUUUCCAUUACCGGUUUUCGAAUGGGAAUGAUACACCAUACGGUGGAAUUUGAAAGCUUUAAGUAUAACAAACUGUGGAGAGUUAUUUUUCAGAGGGUACUUCAACUACACCAGUUUCUAAGAUGUAGUUGAUUUUUUGUGUUUACUUAAUGUUUCUUACAAAUUGAAUCUUUAAGUCUUGACUGCAGACUUGCAACAAUUGAUUGGUGUCAAAAAAUGUCCGGCUGCUGAUUUUGGUGGUGAAAGUGAUCAGCAAUUUUAAUUCUUUAUGAGAAACUUCCACGUAUUGUAUUGGGCAAUUUUGAUUAAACAUCUUAUCAAGUUAAUUACUUUGGCAACUGUCUUUGGGGAAAUAUGUAUUUAGUCUGCCUAAUAUAAGUUGAUUUGAAUGUUAAUUGAUAGAUUGAGUGCUUUUGUAUAAGCAUGUGUUCUGUGGGUAAGGUUCAGAACAAUUAACCAUCCACUACACCUGCUGCUGUAGUGUUCCCUGGACGUCCCAUAUAUGGUUUGCCUGCUAUUGAUGAAAGCAUUAUAACUGUUGGUGAAAGCAUUAUAAGCAUGUGUUCUGUGGGCAAGGUUCAGAACAAAGUGACUGUUUAAGUGGAAGAGGCGUCAAGGACCUGGGGUCCUGCAAAUUCUUCAACUGUUCCAUAACCUCUAAUCUCCUCUUCUAACCCGCUCUCUUUUAUAAUGAAUAAAGAAGAAAAAGGAAGUGUUUAGUACUUUCUGCAAGUUCUUGAGGAAUAACAAUGUUCAAUCAGACAAGUGAAAGUAUUACU